rnacentral:rRNA from 1 species
ACUCAAAGGAAUAGACGGGGGCCCGCACAAGCGGAGGAACAUGUGGUUUAAUUCGAUGAUACGCGAGGAACCUUACCCGGGCUUGAAAGUUAGUGUUUAGCAUGGAAACAUGUUAUCCCAUUAGGGCACGAAACUAGGUGCUGCAUGGUUGUCGUCAGCUCGUGCCGUGAGGUGUUGGGUUAAGUCCCAUAACGAGCGCAACCCCUGCCGUUAGUUGCCAUCAGAUCAAGCUGGGCACUCUAUCGGGACUGCCGGUGUAAGCCGCGAGGAAGGUGGGGAUGACGUCAAAUCAGCACGGCCCUUACGUCCGGGGCUACACACGUGUUACAAUGGUCGGUACAGAGGGCAGCUACACAGUGAUGUGAUGCCAAUCUCGAAAGCCGGUCUCAGUUCGGAUCGAAGGCUGCAAUUCGCCUUCGUGAAGUUGGAUUCGCUAGUAAUCGCGCAUCAGCCAUGGCGCGGUGAAUACGUUCCCGGGCCUUGUACACACCGCCCGU